UGCAGCCCUGUCAAAUUCAGUCCUUGCCUUCUCCAUGGUGAGGACUGGCCAGAUGGCUGCCACAUCACCUUCUGUGCUCCACAAGCCCCAUGUCCCCUUCCUGUGGGACCUAAGGGACAAAAUGACACCACAGACAUUG